AAAUUGAAGAGUUUGAUCAUGGCUCAGAUUGAACGCUGGCGGCAGGCCUAACACAUGCAAGUCGAACGGUAACAGGAAGAAGCUUGCUUCUUUGCUGACGAGUGGCGGACGGGUGAGUAAUGUCUGGGAAACUG
rnacentral:rRNA from 2 species